rnacentral:rRNA from 1 species
AGCAGCCGCGGUAAUUCCAGCUCCAAUAGCGUAUAUUAAAGUUGUUGCAGUUAAAAGCUCGUAGUUGAAUUUCGGGGUUAGUAGGUUGGUCAUGCCUCUGGUAUGUACUGGUCUCACUGAUUCCUCCUUCCUGAUGAACCGUAAUGCCAUUAAUUUGGUGUUGCGGGGGAUUUGGACUGUUACUUUGAAAAAAAUUAGAGUGUUUAAAGCAGGCUCGCGCUUGAAUACAUUAGCAUGGAAUAAUGAAAUAGGACGUUUGACCCUAUUUUGUUGGUUUCUAGGAUCGACGUAAUGAUUAAUAGGGAUAGUUGGGGGCAUUAGUAUUCAAUUGUCAGAGGUGAAAUUCUUGGAUUUAUUGAAGACUAACUACUGCGAAAGCAUUUUGCCAAGGAUGUUUUCAUUAAUCAAGAACGAAAGUUAGGGGAUCGAAGACGAUCAGAUACCGUCGUAGUCUUAACCAUAAACUAUGCCGACUAGGGAUCGGAUGAUGUUAUUUUUAAUGACUCAUUCGGCGCCUUAC